rnacentral:rRNA from 1 species
AGCAGCCGCGGUAAUUCCAGCUCCAAUAGCGUAUAUUAAAGUUGUUGCAGUUAAAAAGCUCGUAGUUGAAUUUCGGGGUCAGUAGAUUGGUCGUGCCACUGGUAUGUACUGGUCUUACUGGCUCCUCCUUCCUGAUGAACCGUAAUGCCAUUAAUUUGGUGUUGCGGGGAGACUGGACUGUUACUUUGAAAAAAUUAGAGUGUUUAAAGCAGGCUAACGCUUGAAUACAUUAGCAUGGAAUAAUGAAAUAGGAUGUUCGAUCUUAUUUUGUUGGUUUCUAGGAUUGACGUAAUGAUUAAUAGGGAUAGUUGGGGGCAUUAGUAUUCAAUUGUCAGAGGUGAAAUUCUUGGAUUUAUUGAAGACUAACUACUGCGAAAGCAUUUGCCAAGGGUGUUUUCAUUAAUCAAGAACGAAAGUUAGGGGAUCGAAGACGAUCAGAUACCGUCGUAGUCUUAACCAUAAACUAUAGCCGACUAGGGAUCGGAUGAUGUUAAUUUUUAAUGACUCAUUCGGCGCCUUA